AUACGGAGGGUGCAAGCGUUACUCGGAAUCACUGGGCGUAAAGCGCGCGCAGGCGGUCUUUUAAGUUGGAUGUGAAAGCCUACGGCUCAACCGUAGAACUGCAUCCAAAACUAUUAGACUAGAGUGUGGGAGAGGAAGAUGGAAUUAGUUGUGUAGGGGUAAAAUCCGUAGAGAUAACUAGGAAUACCAAAAGCGAAGGCAAUCUUCUGGAACACUACUGACGCUGAGGCGCGAAAGCGUGGGGAGCAGACAGGAUUAGAAACCCUUGUAGUCC
rnacentral:rRNA from 1 species